UGGGGGAUAUUGCACAAUGGGCGCAAGCCUGAUGCAGCGACGCCGCGUGGGGGAUGAAGGCCUUCGGGUUGUAAACUUCUUUUGCUCUGAACAAGGCGCACUUUGGGGUGUGUUGAGUGUAGGGGUUGAUUAGCGCCGGCUAACUACGUGCCAGCAGCCGCGGUAAUACGUAGGGCGCGAGCGUUGUCCGGAAUUAUUGGGCGUAAAGGGCUUGUAGGUGGCUGGUUGCGUCUGUCGUGAAAGCUCAUGGCUUAACUGUGGGUUUGCGGUGGGUACGGGCUGGCUUGAGUGCAGUAGGGGAGGCUGGAAUUCCUGGUGUAGCGGUGGAAUGCGCAGAUAUCAGGAGGAAUACCGGUGGAGAAGGCGGGUCUCUGGGCUGUUACUGACACUGAGGAGCGAAAGCAUGGGGAGCGAACAGG
rnacentral:rRNA from 1 species